rnacentral:rRNA from 1 species
GACGAACGCUGGCGGCGUGCUUAACACAUGCAAGUCGAACGGAAAGGCCCUGCUUUUGUGGGGUGCUCGAGUGGCGAACGGGUGAGUAACACGUGAGUAACCUGCCCUUGACUUUGGGAUAACUUCAGGAAACUGGGGCUAAUACCGGAUAGGAUCUCCUGCUGCAUGGGGGGGGUUGGAAAGUUUCGGCGGUUGGGGAUGGACUCGCGGCUUAUCAGCUUGUUGGUGGGGUAGUGGCUUACCAAGGCUUUGACGGGUAGCCGGCCUGAGAGGGUGACCGGCCACAUUGGGACUGAGAUACGGCCCAGACUCCUACGGGAGGCAGCAGUGGGGAAUAUUGCACAAUGGGCGGAAGCCUGAUGCAGCAACGCCGCGUGCGGGAUGACGGCCUUCGGGUUGUAAACCGCUUUCGCCUGUGACGAAGCGUGAGUGACGGUAAUGGGUAAAGAAGCACCGGCUAACUACGUG